ACAGCAGUCGCCACGGGAAUACAGAGGGUGCGAGCGUUAAUCGGAUUUACUGGGCGUAAAGCGUGCGUAGGCGGCUUCUUAAGUCGGAUGUGAAAUCCCUGAGCUUAACUUAGGAAUUGCAUUUGAUACUGGGAAGCUAGAGUAUGGGAGAGGAUGGUAGAAUUCCAGGUGUAGCGGUGAAAUGCGUAGAGAUCUGGAGGAAUACCGAUGGCGAAGGCAGCCAUCUGGCCUAAUACUGACGCUGAGGUACGAAAGCAUGGGGAGCAAACAGGAUUAGAUACCCCAGUAGUCCCUGUCUCUUAUAC
rnacentral:rRNA from 1 species